rnacentral:sRNA from 2 species
AGCAUUAUUAUCGCCAUUCCUCAUAAGGCGGGAUAGCACACGGCUGUACCAAAACCCGCCUUAGAGGCGGGUUUU